rnacentral:rRNA from 1 species
UACGGGGGGGGCAAGCGUUGUUCGGAAUUACUGGGCGUAAAGGGCUCGUAGGCGGCCAACUAAGUCAGACGUGAAAUCCCUCGGCUUAACCGGGGAACUGCAUCUGAUACUGGAUGGCUCGAGUUUGGGAGAGGGAUGCGGAAUUCCAGGUGUAGCGGUGAAAUGCGUAGAUAUCUGGAGGAACACCUGCGGCGGAAGGCGGACCUUCGUGGACGAUGACUGACGCUGAGACGCGAAAGCGUGGGGAGCAAACAGG